UUCACAACAACAGUGAUGACAUAGACUAAGGGAGCAGGGCUCAUUAUGACGUUGAGUUUUGCUGUGGUCUGAAUGUUUAUGUUUCCCCAAAACGCACAGGUUAAAGUCCUAACCCCCAAGGUGAUGGUAUGAGGAGAUGGAGCCUUUGGGAGACACAGUGAGAAGGAGGCAUCUAUGAAGCAGGCUCUCACAGAAGCUGAAUCUCCCAACAUGUUGAUUUUGGACUUCCCAGCCUCCGGAACUAUGACAUGCCUACUUCUGCUUCACCUUCCAUCAUGAUUGUAAACUUCCUGAGGCCCCACCAGAAGCAGAUGCUUACACCAUGUUUCUUGCAUGGUCUGCAGGACUGUGAGACCAACAAAUCUCUAUUCUUUGUAAAUUAUGCAGCUUCGGGUAUUCUGUUAUGGCAAUGCAAAAUGGACUAAUACAAUUCCUAAGGCUAGAAACAUGAGGUCAGAGUGGAAGAGACAGUAAAAUAAAGGGUGGUAAUUAUUAGGGAGUACACUUGACUUGCUAUCAAACAUGCAUUCCUGAAAAGUUGUGUGAAUAUCUAAUUGUUUUAAAGUAAAAACAUAUUUAAUAGUUAAUUACUUAAAGGAAAUUUAUGUUUAUAAGGGAAAGGAUACUUUUAUAACACAAAUACCAAUCCCCUAAGUUAUUUCUUUUAAAAUUCCAGAUUUUUGACUAUGUUGAGUUUUUCUAACUCAAUGGGCAAUUCAAGCAGGCAGUUGAGAGACAUAUACACUGUUUUAGUUUUGGGCGUGGCAUCAGGAAUGGACAGAAUGUUCCCAGUUGAAAGAGGCCCUUGAGAUUAUCUAAUGCAACCCCUCAUUUUCCAGAUGAGAAAACUGAAAAUUAAAUGCUUCACUCAAGGCUAAGCAGCAGGUCACUGAGAGUUAACCUUUGAUUUGUUCAUAGUCCUCAGCUGGCUGGCUGGAAAAUUAGAGCUAGACCCAAACAGUCCUCCUGCCCAAUCAAGGCUCAUUCUCUGCAUGUCACUUAGCCUGGAUGGUUUACUGUGUGUAGAGACUGAAACAAAGCUGCAAGGCAGCUGCACACUUUUGUUCUCUAGGGCCCUUUUCAAUUUCAAAAUUCUAUGAUUCUACAUCAUCACUGAAUCUCCUGUUUUUCAAGAACGUUGCCUAAAAGGAUUCAUUGUAAGAUUAGGAGGCAGCCAAAAAGAGAAAUAACUGUUAUUGGCUCCAGAAUGGCCAAGGAGUAUAGUAAUAUAUUUUGUAGAAGGAGAUAGAUAAUGCUAAAAGAAGAAAUUUAUCUCCCAGAAAGCAAUAAAGCUUUAAAACUGAAUGUAGAAAAAGAAAAAAACCCAGCAACAAAGUUUCUCUUCAGUUCUAUCAAAUAUGGCACCUUGAAUUGGCCCAAGUUUCACAGACACCAGGAAACUGUAAGUGUGAUGUUUUUGAAGAUGCCAUACGUCUCCCAAAACACAUCAUUUUAUUCCAGCUCACUCUUCUUUGCACGCCAUUUAACUUAGCUUCUUGUCAUUUCCUCUUAGAGAUUCCACAUUAUGUCUAGUUCCCCAGAAAAGAAGCCCUUUAUUGGUAACUGCAGAAAAUGUAUUAUGUGAGAAUGUGGGUUGCAGGGAGAGAGAAAGAUUAAAUUCAAUUCUCAAGCACCACUUUUUUGUUCUUUGCAAAGUACCAUAAUGCAGACCACAGGUGAGGGCUCUGAUUUUAAUCUCCGGGUUUGAAAAUUGUUUCAUUUGUAAGCAGCAGCCUGCAUUACCUAUUUCCUCUUUUAUCAUUUUUUGGUUUAUCUAGCAUACAUAUUUCUUGCUAAAAAAUACUUUAGAUCAUAUACAUUCAUGUGAAGUCUUUAAUGUAGCAAAAUUUUUAGUUGGGUUGCCCAAAGAAGAAUAAGAGUGUCUGUUCUAAAAGAGAGAUCCUAAACGAAACUACUGUUAAAUAAAAAUCAUGUUCCAUGGCAACAUUGCCUAAAUUUUAAAUUACAUGUAAAAUAUCAAAUAAAACAUUGAAAUAUCCAUCAUGUGCCUCAGUGUAGAUAAAACCAUAGAAUCAAAUAAUGGUAGAGCUGGAAGAGAUCUUAGAAUUUCUGAGAGUUUUUUUAUUUUGUAGAUAAGAAAACCGAAGCUUAUUAUAGGCAGAUGAUGAGGAUGACUCUCCAUGCACUACCUCAACUGCCAGUCAAUAAAGAGCACAAAAAGAUCACUAGGACAAAUGGCAAAUCAAAGCCAGAUAGCUCAGACUCCCAUACAUAGCUCGUUGCUAUUUUGUGCAGUUACCUGAAUAUUGGCAGUCUGCUAAAAUACUUGGAACUAAAGAAUGAAUGAUGUGGUUAACCAGCAGUACAUGAUUUAUUCUAUUAUAUAAAUUUUAAUUCUCUUAGUGUGUAUCCAAGCACACUAAUUUAUAAAUUUACAGAAGAAAAAAGGACAAACGAUACAGAAUAGGUGAUAUUUUCUUAGUUUUGUUUUUUUUAAAAAAAAAAAACACUGGUUUUACUUUGGCCAAUGGAAAAUACAUUGGACAUUGAUAAUCAAAUUUCUUUCUGAAAGCAAACAUUUUAAAAUUAAAAUUCUCUCUAUUCCUACUAAAUACCCAAAGUGAGAAAAUAAUGAUUGGCAAAAUGUCAAAGCAUUAGCUUACCGCAGAUACCCAUACAUCUUAGCCAGGCCCUAAGACCACAGGGAGGGGCUGAUGUUACCAAGAUCAUGGAGCCAUUGCUAUGUUCAUAUUACUGGAUCCAGUUCCACAAAUACUGAUGCUGUGCCUGUGGUAGAAUGCUGGGGCUACACAAAUGAAAUAGUGACCCAUUCCCUUCCUCCAGUACUUUACAUUCUAAUUGUGAAAAGGACAUAAAAAAUAGCAAAGACUAGCUCUUUCCUGAGAUGGCUGGAGCUCCCUGGGGACAUAGAAGAUGGAAAACUUGUGUUUGCUCAUGGAAACCAAAAGGCCUCACAAAGGAGGUGACAUGAGCUGACAAUUGAAGGACAAAUAAGCAUUUUCAGGAUGGAAUAGGAAGGAAAGAAGCAGCAAGCGGUCAUCUUGGAACACCAGCAUAUCAACAAUAGCCUAGAAUAUUGGGAAAUUUUUCUGUUGAAAAUAUUCUUCAGAAACAUUAAUAUGCUUCUUAAAAAGCAUCAGCCAAAAAAAGGAGUGGGGAAGAGUAGUGGUAAUGAUAAAUGAUACAGCACUCAGAUUUCAUGUUGGGCCUUAAGGACUCAUUCCUCUUGCUGCUAAGAGUUAUGCUGACACAGUCCUCAGCUAUCAGCCUUCUUCAGGAAUUGCUUCAUCUGACAAGAGUCCUCUGCCUAAGGUCUCACCCUUUUUCUGGGCCACAUCAAACGACUGGUCAGGGAAGAAGUGUCUCUACUUAAGACAAUGCUGCCAAUGGACUUAUUCCUAUUUCAGAGCUCUUUGAGGGAUCAGCUGAGGCCGUCUGCAUUGUGACACAAUUAAUUCUCCUUCUGCCCAAUCUUACUUUCAUCCUUUUAUCCUCAUGACUAUUGACCUAGAGAGGACUCUUUAAUAAACUUCCUGCAUGCUAAUCUCCAUCUUCAUAGACACAGAGGGAUAAGAUAACUAAAUAUUGCAAGAUAGAUGAAGACAUUGAGUAUUGCAUUUCAAUAAGCAAGAGCACACCUGUCUUAUAGUCCCCAAAAGGUGGUGGGAUGGAAUGAGAGGACAGGAUUCAUCACUAGUUUCUAAUAACCCCAUCAGAACCUUUUCUUCUAGCACUGUCCAUUUAAAAUAACUUUGCCUUUUUUUUUCUUCUUUCUAACAACGUCCAACUCGUUUUUACCUUUAGGGGUUCUAAGAGUUUCUUGGGCUUCAGCUUCCAGGUGACUUUUCUUGAGCCUGUUCACCAGUUCUGUUCCUGGGAGUCCUCAGAUAAUUCCUCUAGCUCAUUUAGAAUGCUGUGAUAAGUAUUUCUCAAAGUGUGGUCCUCAGAAAGACCAAAUCAGGUGUCUGUUUAAGAUGUAAAUAAUGGGCUCCACUCUAGUCCUACUGAUUCAGGGGACGAAGGCAGAGUGGGAGGUUGGAGGGAGGCAGGCAGGGGUUGAGGGGAGGUUAGUAUCUAUAUUAUAAAGAGGCUACUUAGAAGAUCCUUAAACCCUCAAAAGUUUUAGAAUUUGAGAAUCUUUUCCUUAGAUUUUCUGGAGAAUGUAACAAGGAGAAACAGUGGUGUUUCUGAAUUGCCUGCUGAGUCAAUAGUUACAUGUAAUUUAGAGAGUUUUAUAAUUUAGUAAUGAAAACAGUAUAUGCAUGCAUUUAUUCUCAUUGUGAUGCUGAUCAGACUUCAGCUUGAUCAGUGGGUGGAAUAGAAGCUGUGUAAAUCUAACCAGGCUUCAGGAAUCAUACAACUCUGACCACGUCUGGGAAGGUUCUGGAUUUGUUUGGAUCUAGAGUGGGGUGUUGGAGAAUCAUUUUUCAGACAAAACAUAGCAGCUUACUAAUAAAAAAGGAUGGAUGACUGUCGGGCAAUUUCCAAAGGCUAAGCUUCAGAUUCCUAUUCAGCUGGAACUGGGAAUGGAAUACGUGUAUAUGAGAGAGUUGUAACUAGGGUGCAACAACCAAAGAUUUGCCAAGGGGCACUAAAACUAAGAAAGUGCUUCAGCUGUUAAAAAUAAUUUGUUAAAAAAUCAACUUCAUUGAGGUUUUAAUUAGCUAAUUAAUUAAAUUAAAUUAAACAUAACUCUUUUGAACGUACAAUUCAAUGACUUUUUGACUAAUACACAGCUGUGCAUUUAGAACAACUUUGCCCUUUUUCUUCUGACAACCUCCAAAGUUUCAUUACCAAUCAAGAUAAAGACAGUUUUCAUCUUCCCCCAAAUUCUUCAGUGCCCUAUUUUCAGUCCACCCACCAUUCCUGGUGUGAGGCAACCACUGAACUUCUUUCCAUCACAAUAGAUUAGCAGGGUCUUUUGUAUAAUUUAAUAAAAAUGGAAGCAUGCAGGAUGUGCUGUUUAGUUGAAGAAAACAUUCACCAGAUAUAAAAUUCUUGGUGACAGUUUUUUCUUUCAGCACUUUGAAGAUGCUCCAUUGUCAUCUCACUUGCACAGUUUAAUGAUUACUGUGAUAAUUCUCAUACUUGUUUCUCUCUGUGUAAUGUGUCUCUUUUCUCUGGUUUCUUUUAAGAUCUCCCUAAAUGAUUUUCAGCUGUGUGUGUGUAUGUGUAUUUAUAUAGCUUAUAUAGCUUGGGAUUCAUCAAGGUUCUUGGAUCUGUGUAUUUAUUAUAUUCAUCAAGUUUCAAACUUUUUUGCCAUUACAUCUUCAAACUUUUUUAGUACCUCAGUGUCUGCAUCCAUGAGAUAUAGUGACUGUGUCUAUUUGAUAAAGUAUUAUUUAAGAUAAUGCAUAUAAUUGUCUUAGCACAGUAUUCAAUGUGUGGGAUAUGCUCCCCAAAAAAUGUCUGCUUCAGUUGGAUAUUAUAUAAUUAAUUGUCACAAACUGAUCAUGUUUAAGACUGAAAAGGGGGCACUAUUAAUAUUCACGCUGUCACAGGCACAGACCAAGACUCUUGCAGGCAAACUGACAUAUAUGGUCAUAUAUGAGAAUAAAAGCAGACUGGUAUAACUUUUAUUUGUAACUUGAGACAUAGCUCUGGUGUAGUGGAAGGUUCCUGCUCCCCACACCCCAUUAAGGAGUGAAUUUGCCCUUAAACAGGAAUGAAGGGACCAGGAUUGUAGCUUGAACCAUGACACCAAACAGUGGUACUGAACAACCUCUCUGAAUCUCAGUUUAAAAAAAAAUUUUUUUUUAAUUACCAGACUUUACUUUUUAGAGGAGUUUGUUGUUUAUAGAAAAUUGAGCAGAUAGUACAGAUGGUUCCCACAUACCUCUUUCAUUCCUCACUCAGUUUCCCCUUCUGUUAACAUCUUGCAAUAGUAUGGCACAUGUUUAUAAUUUGUAGACCAAUAUGGAUCCAGUAUUAUUAACUAAUGUCUAUGGCUUACAUUAGGCUUCACUCUUGUGUUGUACAUUGUUUGAGUUUUAACAUGUGUCCACCAUUACAGUGUCAGACAGAAUAGUUUCAUUGCCCUAUCAAUCCCUUCAGCUCCACCUGUUUACCUCCCUUCUCCGGCCCCUGUGACUAUGGAUCUUUUUGUUGUUUCUACGAUUUUUGCCUUUUCCAAAAUGUCACAGAAUAUACAGCUUUUUCUGACUGCUUCUUUCACAGAGAAAUAUAUAUUUGUUUCCUUCAUAUUAUUUAUGGCUAAGAGUGCAUCUCUUUUUAUUGCUGAAUAAUAUUCCAUUACAAGACUGUAACACACAGUUUGUUUUUAAUCCAUUCACCUUUGAAAAGACAUCUUGGUUGCUUCCAAUUUGGAGCAAUUAUGAAUAAAGCUGCUAUAAACAUUUGUGUAUAGGUUUUCACAUAGACAUAAAUUCUCAUUUCAUUUGGUAAAACACUAGGGAGCAUGAUUGCUGGAUCAUACAGUGAGAGUAUGUUCAGAUUUUUAAGAGACUGCAAGACUGUCUUCCAAACUGACUGUCCCAUUUUGUAUUCCCAACAACAAUGAAUUAAAGUUCCUGGGGCUCCAGGAUCUCAGAAUUCUUGUCAACAUUUGGUAUUGUCAGUUUUCUGGAUUUCAGCCAAUCUACUAGAUAAAUAGUGGCAUUACAUUAUUGUUUGAAUUUGCAAUUCCUUAAUGACAUAUGAUGUUGAGCGUAUUUUCACAUGAUUACUUACUACCUGUACAUCCUCUUGGAUGAGGUGUCUGUUCAGCUGCUUCUUCAUUUUUUAAUUGGGUUGUUUGCUUUCUUAUUGUUGAUUUUUAUGAGUUCUUUUUACAUUUUCAAUACAAAUCCUUUAUCAAAUAUGUGUUUGCAAAUACAUCAGAUAUGGGUUUUGCAAAAAUACAAAAAAACUGAAAAAAAAACCCAGAUAUGUGUAUUUGCAAGGGCAAUCUGUGGCUUGUCUUUUUAUUCUCUUGGUCCUGGAAUAUUUUUAUAUCCCACCAUCUUUCUGGGAAUCCAAUUACAUCUAUAUUAGACUACUUGAUAUUUUCGAAAGAUUAUUGAAGCUGUGCUGUUUUUUCCAGUCUUUUUCUUGUGGUCUCUGUGCUUCAGUUUAAAUAGCUUUGAUUGAUUCAGCUUCAAGUUCACAAAUAUUUUCUUCUGCACUAUCCAAUUCAUCCAGUGAAUUUUUUCCCAUACAUUGAAUAUUUUUAUUUCUAGAGUGUCUUUAUUUCUG